ensembl:lincRNA
CCGCUUACCUGCUGAGCAUACUUGAAUGAUUUGGUGUGAUGUGCUCUGAGCCCUCCUUCUGGGUGCUGCGAGAUGUUCUGAGGCAAGCUCCGAAGUUGCGACAUGGUGAGCACAGGGUUACUGCCAACAACGGGAGAAGCAGGGGGCUGAGCAGCGGGAACUGGUGUGGUGGGUCUUUCCCCGGGCUGGGUGGGAACCUGCGGCCACCAGUGAGGUCCUGUGAGGUCCUAGCCAUUCGCUGCACCCGAGGGUAGCCUCUGCAUAACUUCACUAUGGCAGCUGUAUCUGCUCAGAGCAUUUGGAACAGUGGGUUGUGCGUAGAAACAUCCCUGGCAGAAUGAGAAACUCGGAGAACCCUAGUUUCUACAAGUUCUGCCCUCGGCAUUUAACAUUAAGGUGUUUGAUCCAUUUGGAAUUAAUUUUGUGGAGGUUGGAAAAGACAUCUCAUGUGUUCGGUAGCAAUGCAAUAUUAAGCUGUGGUGUAAAGGAGUAGAAUUGGUGAUGUGAAGGAUUUACUAAUGCUUAGUGUCGGAGGCCAGCUCCGGCGAUCUAAGGUAGCCGAUGGGGAAGAGCGUCAGCAGGGGCAAGACUUGGACUUGGGAGAUAUUUAGGGUUACUUUUUAAUAACACGACGUUUACCUUUCUUAAAUCUAAGUGAAUUUGUAGUAGUAGCCUGAGUUCCCCUGAGACCAGAAACUACAGUCUCUGACGUCUAGCACAUCAUAGUAAAACAGAGAUUAAGUAGGCUUUGUCCUUAUCUCCACCUGCUAGUUAAAGACUCAGGAAGAAAAAGAGACACUUUGAAAAAUGAUUUUAAUCUUUACUUCUAAGUUCUUUUUCUCCAAAAAAGAAAAGAAAAGAAAAGAAAUUCC